CUGCUGCCUCCCGUAGGAGUCUGGGCCGUGUCUCAGUCCCAGUGUGGGGGGCCUUCCUCUCAGAACCCCUACGCAUCGUCGCCACGGUGGGCCGUCACCCCGCCGUCUGGCUAAUGCGCCGCAUGCCCAUCCGCCACCGGAUCGCUCCUUUGGCCACCGGAGGAUGCCCUCCGGUGGCGUCACGGGGUAUUAGGCCGCGUUUCCGCGGGUUAUCCCCCUGUGGCGGCCAGGUUGCAUACGUGUUACUCACCCGUGCGCCGGUCGCCGGG
rnacentral:rRNA from 1 species